GGGUUGUAAACUGCUUUUGCCAGGGGAUAAAAUCCAUGCGUGGAAGAUUGAAGGUACCUGGUGAAUAAGCCACGGCUAACUACGUGCCAGCAGCCGCGGUAAUACGUAGGUGGCAAGCGUUGUCCGGAUUUAUUGGGUUUAAAGGGUGCGUAGGCGGCUUUGUAAGUCAGUGGUGAAAUAUCGCAGCUUAACUGUGAGGGUGCCAUUGAUACUGCAGAGCUUGAGUACAGAUGAGGUAGGCGGAAUUGACGGUGUAGCGGUGAAAUGCUUAGAUAUCGUCAAGAACACCUAUAGCGAAGGCAGCUUACUAGGCUGUAACUGACGCUGAGGCACGAAAGUGUGGGGAUCAAACAGGAUUAGAUACCCUGGUAGUCCACACUGUAAACGUUGAUUACUCGCUGUGUGCGAUAUACAGUACGCGGCCAAGCGAAAGCGAUAAGUAAUCCACCUGGGGAGUACGCCGGCAACGGUG
rnacentral:rRNA from 1 species